GAUGACGCUGGCUACGGCUUAACACAUGCAAGUCUGGGGAAACGGCUUUAUGUGCUUGCACAUUCUGGACGUCGACCGGCGCAUGGUGAGUAUCUUUAUCCAACCUGUCCCUUACUUGGGGAUACCCCGUUGAAAGACGGCCUAAUACCCUUUUUGUUUCGUUGACGGCAUCCGAUGUGAAACAUAGGUUUUCCGGUAAGGGAUGGGUAUGCGUCUGAUUAGCUUGUUGGCUGGGCAACGGCCCACCAAUGCGACGAUAAUUAUGGGUUCUGUGAGGAACGUCCCCCACAUUGGAACUGAGACACGGUCCAAACUCCUACGGGAUGCAUUAGUUGUGGGAAUAUUUGGUCAAUGUGACGCAAGUUCUGGAACCAUUUCAAGUGAUCAUGCAAGAUGACUUGUGCCUUAUGAGGUGUGUUCAACUGCUUUUGAUGUGUAUAAUAAAGUGGCGUAACGGUUGUGCCGCUGAUUGCAUUGUUACCUCAUGGAAGUGAGAGAUCUCGUUGUUAUAGUUUGGUGGUGUCAGCUGCCGAGUGGUGAAGUGCUGGGAGAGGUGUGGAGUGUGUCGGAUUGAUCCCGUGUGAUAUGAUAUUGGCGUGUGAUUG
rnacentral:rRNA from 1 species